AUGGCUUCCGACCCGAACAAAGAUUCCAAAUCGGAGGGGCUGUCUGAGGCAAAAAAGGGGGCUUCCCCGACAGCUGGUGCAGGCCUUCCCAGUCCUUUUGAUUUUUCCAACAUGAGCAGCUUGCUUAAUGAUCCAUCUAUAAGGGAGAUGGCUGAGCAAAUCGCCAGCGACCCUGUAUUCAACCAGAUGGCUGAGCAGCUUCAGAAAAGUGCGCAGGGUGCAGGGGAACAGGGUGUUCCAAAUUUGGAUCCUCAAGCAUACAUGGAAACCAUGACACAAGUUAUGCAGAAUCCUCAGUUUAUGUCAAUGGCGGAGCGUCUUGGGAAUACUCUUAUGCAGGAUCCUGCAAUGUCCAGUAUGCUUGAGAACUUGACUAGUCCAGCUCACAAAGAGCAGCUUGAAGAGCGAAUGGCCCGUAUCAAGGAUGAUCCGUCUUUGAAGCCAAUUCUUGAUGAGAUAGAGCGUGGUGGUCCAUCUGCAAUGGUGAAGUACUGGAAUGACCCUGAGAUUCUUCAAAAGAUUGGCCAGGCUAUGUCAUUGAACUUCCCAGUAGAUGCUGCUACUUCCACUGUACUAUCUGGACCUCAAGAAACUGAUGAAGAAGGCGAGGAUGAUGAUGAGUCCAUUGUCCAUAACACCGCCAGUGUCGGUGAUGCAGAGGGUCUGAAGAAAGCAUUAGAUGGUGGAGCAAACAAGGAUGAAGAAGAUUUGGAGGGAAGAAGGGCCUUGCAUUUUGCAUGUGGAUACGGCGAGUUGAAGUGUGCAGAAAUCCUUCUGGAGGCAGGCGCUGCAGUUGACGCACUGGAUAAGAACAAGAACACCCCGCUGCACUAUGCCGCUGGAUACGGUCGGAAGGAAUGCGUGGAUCUUCUCUUGAAGCACGGCGCUGCUGUCACGCUCCAAAAUCUGGAUGGGAAGACCCCCAUCGAGGUGGCCAAGCUCAACAGCCAGGGCGAGGUGGUGAAGCUGCUUGAGCAGGACGUGUUCCUAUGA
rnacentral:rRNA from 1 species